GAACCAUGACUUGGACAUUUCCUCAACAACUCCUUGAAUUGUUCCCAUGCCUCAUGAAAACUCUUAGAUUUAGCUUGUUGGAAAGUUGAAAUUUCAUGCUUAAGCUU